UACGGGGGGGCAAGCGUUGUUCGGAAUUACUGGGCGUAAAGGGCUCGUAGGUGGCCAACUAAGUCAGACGUGAAAUCCCUCAGCUUAACUGGGGAACUGCGUCUGAUACUGGAUGGCUUGAGUUUGGAGAGGGAUGCGGAAUUCCAGGUGUAGCGGUGAAAUGCGUAGAUAUCUGGAGGAACACCGGUGGCGAAGGCGGCAUCCUGGACCAACACUGACACUGAGGAGCGAAAGCCAGGGGAGCAAACAGG
rnacentral:rRNA from 1 species